UAUGGAUGCCGGGGCCUCAUGCCAGACAUUCUGAUGGGAUCUGUCUGGAGUGGGGGCCUGGGUGCAAGUAUAUUUUAAAAGGUCCCCGGGUACUUUGUAUAUGCAGCCAGGGCUGAGAACCACUGAUGCAGCCCUACAGAUUUUAUAUUUCAACAGACAUUUUUAAGACAAACAACUACCGUGAUGAUCUUUAAAUGAUCUUUUCAGAGGCACAUCAGAGCCCCAUUAUAGCUGCUUCUAAAGGAUGCUAGUGAAUAGGGGAUUUUGACUGUGAUAUUAAUUUGCCUCCUUAGUGCUCUCCUUUUAUCAGAAGCUAUUCUAUUUUGGGACCACGGAGCACAUCUGUUGGGACCCAUGAGAAUCUUGAGGGGGAAGAAAAGAGUGUCUGGUGGAGCUAGACUAGGAGAGUAGCAGUACACAGGCUCAGCAGUAAAUUCAGAGCAUUUUACAAGAAGAUGAAAAGUGAAAAUCAUAUGAAAAGUAGUCAUUGUACACUAGCAGCAACUAUCUCUGCAACUUAAUGGCCAACUCCUUAGAGCCAGAGGUAACAAAAAGAAGAUUGGGCGAAGCAGGACACAUACAAAGCCCUGGAUUCCAAUCCAGCCUCGCCACUGGCCCGCUCUGUGGUUCUGGGCACAUGUCACUGCUCUGGAACUUUGCUUGCCUGUCUGCAACAUGAGUUGGUAGGGCUGUCUCUGACACCCUUUGAUUUAUGUUGUCCCGAAACACAAAAACGUGUGAACCCAGCAAUACAGGCUUAGGCAGCCACCCAAAGAGAUGGGUUUUGUUUGCUGGCUAAGAUUAGGCAGCAAAUAACCUUUUUGUCACAACACCUGGCAAGGACGAAAACAUUUAAGCGAAAGACGUGAAAUGGAAGAAUUUGUGCCAUGUGUGUGGCCAAGUUCGCACGUCAGUGUGUGUGCAGAAGGUUAGAGCAAGGGGAAGAGCCACACCACUAGUCCAAGCUGGUUAAGGAUGUGUGCCAUCCUGAUUGAUAAUAAAGAGAAUCACAGAAAGUGUGUGUGUGUGUGCGUGUGUGUGUGUGUGUGUGUGUGUGGCAGGAGGAGCAGAGUGGAGGAUUAGUAGGGGAAAAACCAUUUAUCUCAUCAUAGGUACACUUUCACUUGCUAUUUUGGUAAAUUCCUAGGGUGUGAUAUAUUUUUCACACAUAUUUGUAAUGUGACUGACUAUUGUCACCAUCUCCUGCUGUGUCACAAUUGUUCCUAACUCAAGGACAUUCUCUAUUCAAAUUGUAAAGUUAUCCCUGAGCACGUUGUGUUAUUAUGUUGCUAAGCUCUUGGCCUUAUUUUAUUUUAAAUGAAUCUAAUGCAGUACCUGACAUGUUUGUUAUACAGAUAUUAUAUUUAAUAUGCACUUCAUGUGUAUUAAAAGUGUGUACUACAAAAUAUUUCUGACUUUACAUUAUAGCAUUGAUGACUCUGCAUUCUAAAAUUGGUAGCAUGCUUCUUGAAUCAUAUAAGGAAUAUUUUCUAGAAAGAAGUAAAUUACUUAAGGUUUGGAUAGGCGAAAAAAGUAGUUCGCACUUUCUUUAAUAUUUUUCAUUAAAAGAAGUUUUUGUUCAUAUGUAGUUAUUGCAUGAUGAACGUGCUGGUUCCUGGUAAUGUUCUCAUUCCUGCACCCCGCAGCCCCGCCCAUCUCAUCACUGCGUAUUUAUUUAGCAGCUAAAAGUAUCAUCCUCAAUUGAAUGGAGGGUGUUUCAGAUCAAGGCACUGGUUAUCUAAUAAUCAAAAGGAUGGUUGACUUUCCUACUGUGCCAUCCUAAAAAAAAAAAAUCAGUGCAUAUUUUGGAGAUUAGAGUGAUCCAUCAUGCAUAGAAACUCUUCAUUAUUACUCUACAAACUUCUAAAAAAUAGGUGUUGUGGAUCCAGAAAGAAAUGUGUUGUAGACUAAGAAUUGCAUCUGAGUGUAAAAGAAAAAAAAAAUAAGUCUGUUCUCUUGUAAUAGUGUUUAAGAUUUAUAUAGAAUUAAGCUUUUUCCUUUGUUUGAAGAGAACAAUAGCACAACUCUCUGUUUGGGAUGAUUUAUCUCUUGCUAAACCGCCCUAACUGUUUAUGACACCAAAAAGACAGGUAUCAUUAACCUUAGGUGUUGACAAUUUAGAAUUCAUGAGAAUGAGUUGGAAGCACGAUAGACGGGUCCCACCCCUGAGUUUGUGGAAAGCAGAUGAAUCCUAUGAACUAUUGCCACUGAAGCCUUUCGUUACCACAAAAGAGUUCCCCUCAAAUUUUCAUGGAGGGUAUUUGGUUUUUAAAUGUCCCUUCUCUCUGAAGUGGAAACUGUUUUUAGGAAAAAUGGAUCUAUAUUGCAAUCCAAGUAUUUGCCAAGGACCUAGAAUCAAGUUUAUUUGUAAAUCCAUAAUUUACUGAACCAUUUUACCUUUCUUGUAAGUGAUUCAUGUAUAAAUUAGUGAUGAAUUCCUGAUUAAUUUAUUUUUGCCGCUGUUCUUGGAUUUUAAAAGCUUGCAUUCCUCAAGAUCACCCUCUUCAUAAAUACCUUCAAUAAAUUUCAGCACAGAACGA